AACCUGCGGAGGGAUCAUUACCGAGUUAUCCAACUCCCAACCCCUGUGAAUUAUACCUUUAAUUGUUGCUUCGGCGGGACUUCGCGCCCGCCGGGGACCCAAACCUUCUGAAUUUUUUAAUAAGUAUCUUCUGAGUGGUUAAAAAAAAAUGAAUCAAAACUUUCAACAACGGAUCUCUUGGUUCUGGCAUCGAUGAAGAACGCAGCGAAAUGCGAUAAGUAAUGUGAAUUGCAGAAUUCAGUGAAUCAUCGAAUCUUUGAACGCACAUUGCGCCCGUCAGUAUUCUGGCGGGCAUGCCUGUUCGAGCGUCAUUACGCCCCUCAAGUCCCCUGUGGACUUGGUGUUGGGGAUCGGCGAGGCUGGUUUUCCAGCACAGCCGUCCCUUAAAUUAAUUGGCGGUCUCGCCGUGGCCCUCCUCUGCGCAGUAGUAAAACACUCGCAACAGGAGCCCGGCGCGGUCCACUGCCGUAAAACCCCCCAACUUUUUAUAGUUGACCUCGAAUCAGGUAGGACUACCCGCUGAACUUAAGCAUAUCAAUAA
rnacentral:rRNA from 1 species